rnacentral:rRNA from 1 species
AGUGAACGCUGGCGGCAGGCCUAAUACAUGCAAGUCGAACGGCAGCACAGCAGAGCUUGCUCUGUGGGUGGCGAGUGGCGGACGGGUGAGGAAUACAUGGGAAUCUGCCCAGUCGUGGGGGAUAACGUAUGGAAACGUACGCUAAUACCGCAUGCGCCCUACGGGGGAAAGUCGGGGACCGCAAGGCCUGACGCGAUUGGAUGAGCCCAUGUUCGAUUAGCUAGUUGGCGGGGUAAAGGCCCACCAAGGCGACGAUCGAUAGCUGGUCUGAGAGGAUGAUCAGCCACACUGGAACUGAGACACGGUCCAGACUCCUACGGGAGGCAGCAGUAGGGAAUAUUGGACAAUGGGGGCGAACCCUGAUCCAGCCAUGCCGCGUGAGUGAAGAAGGCCCUCGGGUUGUAAAGCUCUUUUGUCAGGGAAGAAACGGUCUACUCUAAUACAGUGGGCUAAUGACGGUACCUGAAGAAUAAGCA